rnacentral:lncRNA from 1 species
UAAGGGGUUCCUCACUGGGCAGGCAGUACCUUUAAUACUUGGGUGGCUAAUGGCUAUGUUUUUGUUAAACAGUUGGAAAGGUUGUUUGCCGAGUUCCUUUUUAGGCUGUAGGUCUUUUCUGGCAUCGUUUCUUCUAUUUUUGAAUAGAGUAGCCUGGGGUGGAAGUAGGAAGUUGUUGUGGUUUUUUGAAUUUUUUGGUUGUUCCUGUAACGUUAUAUUUUGUGGUGGCUGCUUUGGGCUGUAUCCCACAUCAAUUGAGCUGAGCCUCAGUUGAUUAUCUCUUGGACAGUGGGGUCAUUAGUGGAGAAUGGUUAGUGUCCAAGGUCGAACUUAGAUUCGUUUGGUCAGGCAACCAGCUAUCGGCAAGUUCGUUAGGCUUGUCACCUCUAUUUUCAAGUCAUCUCAUUCUUUUGCUACAGAAACGAGUUCGUCCUUAAAGACUGCUUGGAAAUAGCUCACUUGCAUUCGGGGGGGCAGGCUUGGAUUCUUCUUGUCUGCUGUGUUCUUGCUAGACGGUGAUGCAAAAGGUACGUGGGUUAAUCCCUGCUGUAAUGUGCUGGUGUUGUAUGUGGUGUUUUCCUUUACAGUACUUUCUCUAUUGCGUCAUAUGAGUGAUGUUCGAUCGCAUCUACUAGUCUUAGUAUAAUGUUUUGGGUUAUUUUAAUGGUUGGUUUGUGGGUUUGGAUGGGCUUAAGGUAGGCUCAAAAAGGCUGCGGUGUUUGGCGUCUUCCGAUUGUAAAACGGGUGCUUUAGAGUAAGCUACUUUUUGCUCCAAGCACACCUUCCGGUGCGCUUACCGUGUUACGACUUGCCCCGUCUUCAGGUGUAUUUGCUGAAAAUGGGGGUGACGGGCGGUUUGUGCGUACCCCAGCGCAUAGAUUCAGAUCAAUGUUCUUAUUGAUCUUACUACUAAAUCCUGCUUAGUUCGAGGUUAAAUGGGUGAAGUUCAGCUCGAGUUUCGUUUGGCCAUGAAUGUGGCAUUGUAGCCCAUGCGUGCCACCUCAUAAGCUGCACCUUGACCUGUCGUUUUUAUGGGGGGGUUGUUUAGCUCCGUUCUCUUGGGAGGUGGGCUGACGACGGCGGUAUACAG